UUCCGGCCAUACCACGUUGAAACACCGGUUCUCGUAAGAACAUCGAAGUGAAGCAAUUUCAAGACUGGUCAGUAUCUAGGUGGGUGGCCGCUUAGGAAAUAUCAGGAGCUGUAAG